AUUGAACGCUGGCGGCAGGCCUAACACAUGCAAGUCGAGCGGAUGAAGGGAGCUUGCUCCUGGAUUCAGCGGCGGACGGGUGAGUAAUGCCUAGGAAUCUGCCUUGUAGUGGGGGAUAACGUCCGGAAACGGGCGCUAAUACCGCAUACGUCCUGAGGGAGAAAGGGGGGGAUCUUCGGACCUCACGCUAUCAGAUGAGCCUAGGACGGAUUAGCUAGUUGGUGGGGUAAAGGCCUACCAAGGCGACGAUCCGUAACUGGUCUGAGAGGAUGAUCAGCCACACUGGAACUGAGACACGGUCCAGACUCCUACGGGAGGCAGCAGUGGGGAAUAUUGGACAAUGGGCGAAAGCCUGAUGCAGCCAUGCCGCGUGUGUGAAGAAGGUCUUCGGAUUGUAAAGCACUUUAAGUUGGGAGGAAGGGCAGUAAGUUAAUCCCUGGCCGUUUUGACGGUACCAACAGAAUAAGCACCGGCUAACUUCGUG
rnacentral:rRNA from 1 species